rfam:Oryza glaberrima chromosome 7 Oglab07_0035_24, whole genome shotgun sequence.
UUCAAGUCUAACUGUCAUUUUCCGUGUUCAAUUUUAAUUGUCCGUUUUAUUUAAAAUCUUUUUAUAAAUUAAUAUUUUUUUAUUGUUAUAGAUGAUAAAAUAUGAAUAGUACUUUACUUGUGACUUAUGUUUUUAAUUUAUUUUCAAAUUUUUUUCAAAUAAGACGGAUGAUUAAAGUUGGGCGCGAAAAAUCAUGGCUACACUUAAA